rnacentral:rRNA from 1 species
GACGAACGCUGGUGGCGUGCUUAACACAUGCAAGUCGAACGAUGAUGCCCAGCUUGCUGGGCGGAUUAGUGGCGAACGGGUGAGUAACACGUGAGUAACCUGCCCUUGACUUCGGGAUAACUCCGGGAAACCGGGGCUAAUACCGGAUAUGAGCCGUCCUCGCAUGGGGGUGGUUGGAAAGUUUUUCGGUCAGGGAUGGGCUCGCGGCCUAUCAGCUUGUUGGUGGGGUGAUGGCCUACCAAGGCGACGACGGGUAGCCGGCCUGAGAGGGCGACCGGCCACACUGGGACUGAGACACGGCCCAGACUCCUACGGGAGGCAGCAGUGGGGAAUAUUGCACAAUGGGCGAAAGCCUGAUGCAGCGACGCCGCGUGAGGGAUGAAGGCCUUCGGGUUGUAAACCUCUUUCAGCAGGGAAGAAGCGCAAGUGACGGUACCUGCAGAAGAAGCGCCGGCUAACUACGUGCCAGCAGCCGCGGUAACACGUAGGGCGCAAGCGUUGUCCGGAAUUAUUGGGCGUAAAGAGCUCGUAGGCGGUUUGUCGCGUCUGGUGCGAAAACUCGAGGCUCAACCUCGAGCUUGCAUCGGGUACGGGCAGACUAGAGUGCGGUAGGGGAGACUGGAAUUCCUGGUGUAGCGGUGGAAUGCGCAGAUAUCAGGAGGAACACCGAUGGCGAAGGCAGGUCUCUGGGCCGCAACUGACGCUGAGGAGCGAAAGCAUGGGGAGCGAACAGG